CCAAUAGCGUAUAUUAAAGUUGUUGCAGUUAAAAAGCUCGUAGUUGAAUUUCGGGGUUCUACCGUUGGUCGGGCAAUAGUCUGUACUGGCGUGUGGAAUUUCUACCUUCUGGGGAACCAUCAUGUUAUUAAUUUAGCGUGGUGGGAAACCAGGACCUUUACCUUGAAAAAAUUAGAGUGUUCAAAGCAGGCUUACGUCUGAAUACAUUAGCAUGGAAUAAUAAAAUAGGAAGGUGGUCCUGUUUUGUUGGUUUCUGAAUCACCGUAAUGAUUAAUAGGGAUAGUUGGGGGCAUUAGUAUUCAAUUGUCAGAGGUGAAAUUCUUGGAUUUAUUGAAGACUAACUUCUGCGAAAGCAUUUGCCAAGGAUGUUUUCAUUAAUCAAGAACGAAAGUUAGGGGAUCGAAGACGAUCAGAUACCGUCGUAGUCUUAACCAUAAACUAUGCCGACUAGGGAUCGGACGAUGUUAAUUUUUCUUGACUCGUUCGGCGCCUUACG
rnacentral:rRNA from 1 species